UACAGAGGUCCCCAAGCGUUGUUCGGAUUCACUGGGCGUAAAGGGUGCGCAGGUGGCCGCGCAAGUUCGAUGUGAAAGCCCCGGGCUUAACCCGGGAAUGGCAUUGAAAACUGCGUGGCUGGAGGAUCGGAGGGGGGACUGGAAUUCUUGGUGUAGCAGUGAAAUGCGUAGAUAUCAAGAGGAACACCAGUGGCGAAGGCGAGUCCCUGGACGAUACCUGACACUGAGGCACGAAAGCCAAGGGAGCAAACAGGAUUAGAACCGUACCG
rnacentral:rRNA from 1 species